rnacentral:pre_miRNA from 15 species
UUUCUUCCAGUCCCUUGUCAUUCUCUCGCCCGGUGUAUUUUAACAACUGGACGGAGAACUGAUAAGGGCUUGUGGGAAA